rnacentral:rRNA from 9 species
GUUCGUAGUGACCUGCGGAGGAUCAUUA